rnacentral:rRNA from 1 species
AUCGGCCUACGGGGGGCAGCAGUGGGGAAUAUUGCACAAUGGGGGAAACCCUGAUGCAGCAACGCCGCGUGAGUGAAGAAGUAUUUCGGUAUGUAAAGCUCUAUCAGCAGGGAAGAGAAUGACGGUACCUGACUAAGAAGCCCCGGCUAACUACGUGCCAGCAGCCGCGGUAAUACGUAGGGGGCGAGCGUUAUCCGGAUUUACUGGGUGUAAAGGGAGCGUAGACGGCUGUGCAAGUCUGAAGUGAAAGCCCGUGGCUCAACCGCGGAACUGCUUUGGUAACUGUAUAGCUUGUGUACUGGAGG